rnacentral:pre_miRNA from 11 species
CUCCUGUGCCUACUGAGCUGAAACAGUUGAUCCCAGUGCACUGGCUCAGUUCAGCAGGAACAGGAG